rnacentral:rRNA from 1 species
GAUGAACGCUGGCGGCGUGCCUAAUACAUGCAAGUAGAACGCUGAAGGAGGAGCUUGCUCUUCUGGAUGAGUUGCGAACGGGUGAGUAACGCGUAGGUAACCUGCCUGGUAGCGGGGGAUAACUAUUGGAAACGAUAGCUAAUACCGCAUGACAACAGUUAUUGCAUGAUAACUGUUUAAAAGGGGCAACUGCUCCACUACCAGAUGGACCUGCGUUGUAUUAGCUAGUUGGUGAGGUAACGGCUCACCAAGGCGACGAUACAUAGCCGAACUGAGAGGGUGAGCGGCCACACUGGGACUGAGACACGGCACAGACUGCUACGGGAGGCAGCAGUAGGGAAUCGUCGGCAAGGGACGGAAGUCUGACCGAGCAACGCCGCGUGAGUGAAGAAGGAUUUCGGAUCGUAAAGCUCGGUUGUAAGAGAAGAACGAGUGUGAGAGUGGAAAGUUCACACUGUGACGGUAUCUGACCAGAAAGGGACGGCUAACUACGUG